GUGGGUAUACCUCAGAGGUAAAGCGUGUGCUUAGCAUGCAUGAGGUCCUGGGUUCGAUCCCCAGUAUCUCCA
rnacentral:tRNA from 1 species